rnacentral:lncRNA from 13 species
GAUAAUGGUGGAUCCCAAAGCGGGCAAGUCUUCAAAGUUAAACAGUCAACACAAUUGAUUCUAAUGUACCGCUACACUGAAAUUUUCAUUCUGUAAUGAGGGAAGUAGAAUUCUAUCACAAGUGAUUUCUGUUCCCCACCAUUUCUAAUAGCCUUCAUUAGAUGGUAAGAAGUUGAAACUAUUAAAUCUACUAGAAGUUGCAUUGAAGGUGUUUGGAGGAUCAGAACAUGCAUGUAAUGAUCGACUGUCUCUUCCAGUUCUUGUUGAUUGAUUGAUCCUUCUAUAUUUCCUGAGACCUUAUGCCCUAGGCCAGCUCAGCUUCUAGUCCUGUUGUCUUCAAAGUUUAAUGUGUAUAAAAAUCUCCGGGGGAACAUUUUUCAGAUUUCUAAAUCUUAUCUCCAAGGAUUGUGAUUCAUACAAAGCCUGAGAAUUGAAUUUUAAAAAUAAUUACCAGGUAAAAUCAUCAUCAACUCUAUGAACAGAAAGUUGUUGUGGAUUUGACAGUGAUGAUCUUCUCGGAUUCAGACUCUAAGCUUUUAUUUCUUUCUGGGAGAAAAUAUUUGCCUUUUACCCCAAUGUUGGCCCUUGUCUUUUAACCACCCUUUCACCAUACCUCUCAGGAACUGGGGACAUGCUGCUGAAUCCAAGUCCAUCAUGGCUGGGUCUGUGUUCUCGAUACCAAUUGAAGAUAGGGAUUUCAGGACCCAGAAUAAGAAGCUCUGUUUGGAUGGACACAUGGGGGUGAUCUGGGACAGAGAAGCCUGGAAAAGCUGA